rnacentral:misc_RNA from 1 species
UGUGGGAGCUGGCUUGCCUGCGAUGCAAGCACCUCGGUGUAACAGGUAAAGCGAGGUGAUUCUAUCGCAGGCAAGCCAGCUCCCACA